GAUGAACGCUGGCGGCGUGCCUAAUACAUGCAAGUCGAGCGAACGGACGAGAAGCUUGCUUCUCUGAUGUUAGCGGCGGACGGGAGAGUAACACGUGGAUCACCUACCUAUAAGACUGGGAUAACUUCGGGAAACCGGAGCUAAUACCGGAUAAUCUUUUGAACCGCAUGGUUCAAAAGAGAAAGACGGUCUUGCUGUCACUAAUAGCUGGAUCCGCGCUGCAUUAGCUAGUUGGUAAGGUAACGGCUUACCAAGGCAACGAUGCAUAGCCGACCUGAGAGGGUGGUCGGCCACACGGGAACGGAGACACGGUCCAGACUCCUACGGGAGGCAGCAGUAGGGAAUCUUCCGCAAUGGGCGAAAGCCUGACGGAGCAACGCCGCGUGAGUGAUGAAGGUCUUCGGAUCGUAAAACUCUGUUAUUAGGGAAGAACAUAUGUGGAAGUAACUGUGCACAUCUUGACGGUACCUAAUCAGAAAGCCACGGCUAACUACGUG
rnacentral:rRNA from 1 species